GCACGACCUGUGCGACUUUAGGGGUUUGUAAUACACAGCUGCCUUCCGGAGGCUACCAGGGCUUCAUGGGGUCUUUACUUUCCCUCCACUUCCCCCCAAAACCUCCUUUGGCCCCCAACAAUCCUCUCCUUUGGGGCCAGCGGCUGCAAGGACAUCUCUACAGGCUAUUUCAGGCUUCUGUAAACUGCCAGGCUAGCCCUUCAGUGUGCCACCGUACCUUCCUUUAACCUCCCUCUCCUUUCCAGGAUGGGGAGCUGGCACCCUGGGCCACUGAGCGAGCCAGGACUGUCCAGCCCUUUGAUAAAUGGGAUCUUCGGGGAAGGCCACCCACGCUUCUCGAUGUUUCUCUAGGAUCUUAUCCUUAGGAUUUGCAGUACAGACUUAACAUUUUCUUAGAGGAAUGUAUAGGAAAGAAGAAAAACAGGAAAGGAAAUAGGAAUUCAAAUACCACUUAUCCCACAAGGGAGCUGUGACCCAAACUGCGAGCCUCACUGGGAGCCAGGCUUCCUGGGGUGGAGAGCUCAGGCCUGGCUCCUCAGGUCUAGUUCCCCAGGCUUGGGCUCCACCCUGGCUGCGAAGGCCCCAGACCACCUCGCCCCACCCUGAGAACGACCUCUUGCUCUACCACAUGAAGGUCUCUAGAAGUGGGCUUCUGUGACCCUAAGAUGGAUCAGGCAAAUAGGGAGUGUCGUUGUGCUGACAAUGAAGAAGUAAAGCUGACUUUGAUAGGCCUGCUCAGCGACAUCUGGAGGAUAAAGAGCAGGUGCCUGCUUUGGUUCUAGGGGUCUCUAUGGCCACACCCAUCUCUGGGCCACUUCCAUUGCAAAGGAGCCCCUAAUUGCCUGACAAAAGCAUCCAGAAUAUGUAGAGCCAGAUACAUGGACUGCUGGAAGGAUGUCCAAGACCAAACGCUUAGGCAAAACCAAAACAAAACAAAGAACAGACUGAGAAAGCCUUCGCCAUUCCUAGCACAUGAGCUCUGCUCCGUAAAGAAGCCAGUGAGAAGCCACAGAUAUGUGACCGGUUUUCUCGAACUCCCUCGGCUCUGACUUCUCUGCUAUGGUGGACUCUAACCCGGAGCUAUGAGCUAAAAAGAACCCUUUCUCUCCUAAGUCACUUUUAUCCGGUGUUUUACCAUACCGGCAGGCAAUGAAACAAAGAUACCAGAAGAGUAUGGUACCACAUGCUUGGUGCUCGCAACAUUUCAGAGCCCAAGGCAAGGGGAUCCAUGGUUCAGAAUAAGAACCUGUCUCAAAGCACACAGCUGAACAAAGAGAAGAUAGGUUUCCAAAGGGACCUUCAGGCAAUGGCUUUGUAGGUUGUCUCUGGUCUCAAGAAAGACAGCGUUGGUGAGGUGACUUGCCUCAGAGCUUCCUGUCUGCCUUUGACCGUCCUUAGACCUCAAUCUCAGGUGUGCUUUCUUGCAGAACUGUUUCUUAAAGCUGUGGUCCAUGCCGCACCAAAUUCGACUGGCCUGUCAGGGGGCACACUUUCCACUCUGGGAGAGGCAGGCACAGAAGCAGGCCAGUGGUACCACCCACCUCUCCCACUCAGCCCCAUUCAGCCGCCAGUCACCCCAGCUGGGAACCCCAGAGGAGGAAACACCUGCUCGCCCUGACUUGAAGCUGCCGUUUGCCAUCCAAAUGAGUCAUGAAGGCACUGUGGAGAGGAUUUUACUCAUCCCCCAGGAAUGGACUCUUGGAAGACUCCAGAAUGACUAGCUUCAAGUGUUCUGUCUCAGGCGCAGGGCAUUUUAUCCCUCUCUAUGUCUGCAGUCACUUCCCUUCUGGAUACUUCCUGUUUCUGGGAGCAGGCAGCGCGCCAGGCAGAGCUCAGCCUCUGAGCAGACGGGCAGAGACACCCUUCCUCUUAUUCCUAGUAUUGGAUCCCAUCUUCCUUCCCUGCCAGAGAUAGCCAUCACAGUUCUGUGCUUUUCCCAGGUCCCUGCAUGCCAGCAGGGCAGAGAACACAGAGGAACGUAUUUCCAUCUGCAGCUCUGACCUUUGGCAGGUGCUUAGCAACCGUUAUCGAUCAUUGGCUUCUUGGGCACGGGUAAUCAGGGCAAGAUCUGGGGCAAGGGUCCAUUCAUUCAUUGAUUUAAUAAAUAUUUACUGAAUGCCUACUA